AUUGAACGCUGGCGGCAUGCCUUACACAUGCAAGUCGAACGGCAACAGGUCUUCGGAUGCUGACGAGUGGCGAACGGGUGAGUAAUGCAUCGGAACGUGCCCAGUAGUGGGGGAUAGCCCGGCGAAAGCCGGAUUAAUACCGCAUACGACCUGAGGGUGAAAGGGGGGGAUCGCAAGACCUCUCGCUAUUGGAGCGGCCGAUGUCAGAUUAGCUAGUUGGUGGGGUAAAGGCCUACCAAGGCAACGAUCUGUAGUUGGUCUGAGAGGACGACCAGCCACACUGGGACUGAGACACGGCCCAGACUCCUACGGGAGGCAGCAGUGGGGAAUUUUGGACAAUGGGCGCAAGCCUGAUCCAGCAAUGCCGCGUGCGGGAAGAAGGCCUUCGGGUUGUAAACUGCUUUUGUCAGGGAAGAAAUCUUCUGGGUUAAUACCUCGGGAGGAUGACGGUACCUGAAGAAUAAGCACCGGCUAACUACGUGCCAGCCGCCGCGGUAA
rnacentral:rRNA from 1 species